rnacentral:misc_RNA from 1 species
GAUGAAGAACGUAGCGAAAUGCGAUACUUGGUGUGAAUUGCAGAAUCCCGUGAACCAUCGAGUCUUUGAACGCAAGUUGCGCCCGAAGCCAUCAGGUUGAGGGCACGUCUGCCUGGGCGUCACAUAUCGUUGCCCAAUGCCUAUUGCAGUGCAAUAGGAAUUUCUAGGGCGAAUGAUGGCUUCCCGUGAGCGUUGUUGCCUCGCGGUUGGUUGAAAAUCGAGUCCUUGGUAGGGUGUGCCAUGGUAGAUGGUGGUCGAGUUAGAACGAUACCGAUCAUGUGCAUGCUCCCCAAAAUAUGGCCUCUAUGACCCACACGCGUCUUUUGACGCUCAUGACGAGACCUCAGGUCAGGCGGGGCUACCCGCUGAAUUUAAGCAUAUCAAAAGCGGGGA